rnacentral:rRNA from 1 species
CAACAGGGAUUGCCCUAGUAACGGCGAGUGAAGCGGCAACAGCUCAAAUUUGAAAUCUGGCCCUCGUGGUCCGAGUUGUAAUUUGCAGAGGAUGCUUUUGGUGCGGUGCCUUCCGAGUUCCCUGGAACGGGACGCCAGAGAGGGUGAGAGCCCCGUACGGUUGGACACCUACCCUAUAUAUAGCUCCUUCGACGAGUCGAGUAGUUUGGGAAUGCUGCUCUAAAUGGGAGGUAAAUUUCUUCUAAAGCUAAAUACCGGCCAGAGACCGAUAGCGCACAAGUAGAGUGAUCGAAAGAUGAAAAGCACUUUGAAAAGAGGGUUAAAUAGCACGUGAAAUUGUUGAAAGGGAAGCGUUUGCGACCAGACCUUCUCCAGGCGGAUCAUCCGGCUCUCUCGCCGGUGCACUUCGCCUGGUCUAGGCCAGCAUCGGUUUCCUUAGGGGGAUAAAGGCCUGGGGAACGUAGCUCUUUCGGGAGUGUUAUAGCCCCUGGCGUAAUACCCCUCGGGGGACCGAGGACCGCGCUUCGGCAAGGAUGCUGGCGUAAUGGUCGUCAACGACCCGUCUUGAAACACGGACCAAGGAGUCGAACAUUUGUGCGAGUGUUUGGGUGUUAAACCCUCACGCGUAAUGAAAGUGAACGGAGGUGAGAGCCCCUAGGGGUGCAUCAUCGACCGAUCCUGAUGUCUUCGGAUGGAUUUGAGUAAGAGCAUAACUGUUCGGACCCGAAAGAUGGUGAACUAUGCGUGGAUAGGGUGAAGCCAGAGGAAACUCUGGUGGAGGCUCGCAGCGGUUCUGACGUGCAAAUCGAUCGUCAAAUCUGCGCAUGGGGGCGAAAGACU